AUACGGAGGGUGCAAGCGUUAUUCGGAAUCACUGGGCGUAAAGGACGCGUAGGCGGGUUGGAAAGUCUGAUGUGAAAUCCUACAGCUUAACUGUAGAACUGCAUUGGAAACUUCCAACCUAGAGUAUGGGAGGGGGAGAUGGAAUUAGUGGUGUAGGGGUAAAAUCCGUAGAUAUCACUAGGUAUACCCAAAGCGAAGGUGAUCUCCUGGAACAUUACUGACGCUAAGGCGUGAAAGCGUGGGGAGCAAACGGGAUUAGAAACCCUAGUAGUCC
rnacentral:rRNA from 1 species